rnacentral:tRNA from 1 species
ACUUGUAUAGCUUAAGCUUAGAGCUUAACAUUGAAGAUGUUAGGGAGGUGAGAUACCUGCAAGUA